GCGACCCCAGGUCAGGCGGGGCUACCCGCUGAAUUUAA
rnacentral:rRNA from 12 species